GACGAACGCUGGCGGCGUGCUUAACACAUGCAAGUCGAACGGAAAGGCCCUGCUUUUGUGGGGUGCUCGAUUGGCGAACGGGUGUGUAUCACGUGUGUAACCUGCCCUUGACUUUGGGAUAUCUUCAGGAAACUGCGUCUAAUACCCGAUAGGAUCUCCUGCUGCAUGGUGUUGGUUGGUAAGUUUCGGCGGUUGUGGAUGUACUCGCUGCUUAUCCGCUUGUUUGUGGGGUAGUGGCUUACCAAGGCUUUGACGGGUAGCCGGCCUGGGAGGGUUGCCGGCCACAAUGGGACUGAGAGACGGACCAGACGGCUACGGGAGGCAGCAGGGGGGAAUAUUGCAGAAUGGGCGGAAGCCUGAUGAAGAAACGCCGCGAGCGGGAAGACGGCCUUCGGGUUGAAAACAGAUUUGGAAUGUGACGAAGAGAGAGUGACGGUAAUGGGUAAAGAAGCACCGGCUAACUACGUG
rnacentral:rRNA from 1 species